rnacentral:lncRNA from 1 species
CUCUUGAUGAACAUGUCUUUACAUGAAUUUGUAUAAGUUUUAUUAGAAAUUGUAUCAUUAUGAACGUAUAUUGCAUGAAAUGUUUAUGUACUUAAAUUCGUCAUAAUCCAAGUUAUUAAGCAUUCAUGUAUAUAUGCCCCACUUGAUUUCGAUUGGUCUCUAUUUAAGUGUGGAAUAAUAUAAUGUCUAAAGGGAGGUUGGCUUUAUUUUAAUAAAACUAUUUGCAUUUGUGGAUAAAUUCAAAACCUCUCUAUAGUAAAGAGUUUAAGACUUGAGGGUUAUAUGCAAAGUUCUUUUAAAUUUAUUCAUCCACCUCAAUUAUCUUCUUUAACAUACUAUGUCCAUAUAGUAAUGAAUACGCAUUUGCUAUAUAUCGCUAGGACUAUUGUUUCUUUAAAUUUUUCAAAUAUCAUUAUUUUGGUUUGAUAUUGUCAAAGAGGAAGAAAAUUAUUUUAUCAUAAUUAUUUUUAAGAAAUUCCUCUUUUCAUAAAAGAAUAUGAGACAUGUGGUUUGAUUUAAAAAAAUCUUUAAACCGUCCUAUUUAAUAUGAUAUAUAUUUAAUUAGUAAUCUAUUCUACUAUGUUUUUUUGAUUCUUACCCUAAUGACCUGCUCAAUUAGAUACAAUCCUGAAAGAAUAAAAAAUUGGAUUCUUUCAAUAAAAUUUUUAGGAUACAUCCCUUAACGAAACAAAUAUUAUAUAAAAAUAUUUUCUUCAACUCUACUGCACAUAUUGCAAUAAAAUUGGACACAAGUCAUAUUAUUGAACGUAAGAAAAUUUUCACAAAAAGAUGAUACAACAAAAUGGAGGACUACGACUUUAUUAUUUUGAUCAUAUUUCCAUCAAAAUGUGUAUAAUACAGUGCUAUAAUUUGUCUAACAUUCCAUAACAACAUUCCCAACAUCAAAACACUUGAGAUUCGACAUCAUGUUUUUAAAAUCACGUCCAAAAAAGGGAAUUGAACUUCAAUAUAUUCCUACCGACAAGCAAUUGGCGAUAUUUUUACAAAACCCACCCUCGAUGAGAAGAGAUUUUACUAUAUUCGACGCGACUUUGGAAUGUCUCAACAACAAUGUGAACUAUUUUUUGGAUACUUAAAGUAAAUUUAUAAGUAUGAGUUGAGUCAUUUUGCAAAAGCAUAAUCGGGAUUGAUAUGUAUUUCUAUGCUUUAUCUCCGAUAAAACAUUUUUUUUUUUGAAGAACUUUCACCGUGAUUUUUUGGUGAUAGAUGAGAAUGAUCAAAAGGCCUAAGUAUUGGUAUUAUGAUUAAGAAUAAUAAAAAUCAAUUUAUGUGCUUAUGUGCAGAAAAUUAUAGAUAUGCGCAUGCCUAAGGGAAUUAAAUUCCAUGUGAAAUAGAUUAAUGCUUACAAGAUUAAUGCCUCCUCCAAUCCAAUCAAAUAAAACUAUUUAUAGCAGUCGUAAAACUUAAGAGAAUAGAGUAUCAUAUAAGCUAAAACAAUUGAACAUGUAUUUGUCAAAACUUUCUAAACUAACUAGAAAGUUUAGGGAGGCCGACCAAACUUGAAAUUAGGUCGCUUAAAGAACAAACUUAACUUUAUGAGUUGCAUGGAAUAUCCAUCGAUCGAUAGGGAGACAACUAUAACAGUUGUACAACCCAACAAAAGUUUUCAGCAACAAAUGCAUCGAUCAAAUGAUCGUCAUUCCAACAUUUACUAGAAGCCGAAUCCAUCUUAAGUACGACCCUCCGCCUUUAGCCCCGCCCCCCCCCCCGGUCCUAGCAUUAGUGACCUAAAAGAGACAAAGAGAUCAUAACUUUUGAAUUCUCUGUCCAUUUUGAUGCGACACAAAGGGGAGAAGAAAUGAAGAAAAGUUUUUUGGGCAUAAGUUAUCAUUUAAAAAUUCUAUUUUGACAUUUUAAGUGUAAUGCUAAACUUAUUUUUUUUUUGGAUAAUGUCUUUCUAACUUGUUGCUGAAACUUGGAACAUUUGAGUGUAAUUUCUAAACUUAUUUUUUUGGAUAAUGUCUUUCUAAACUGCUGAAACUUGUUGGGAUGAAACUAUCUUUUAUGCUAUGAUUGCCUUAUCUCUCUCAUGCGUGGCUUGUAUAUGUGACAGCUGGAUGACAUUGAUGAUAUGCUAUAUGCAUGUACAAUGUGAGUAUUUAUGCUUGACUACUUGAAGGAUUUUCACAAAAGAAUUGAGGAACAACAGUGAAAAAGACUUGACGAUCCAAUUUCGUAUAUUCUAUCCCCUGUGUUUCAUUUCAAAAGUAUGAAUCUAUCGUAGAAAAUACUUAAAACCUAUUUAUGCCAUCAAACUAAGUAAAAAUGAUAAAAUGAAGAUAGGGGAGAGCAUAGAGUAAGGGAAAGAUUUUGAAAUAAAAUAAUAAAAUCGAUUUCAAAAAUAAGAUUGUGUAUCAUUCAAAAAAGGGGAGAUGUUAGCAUAAAUAUUAAUUGGUUUGAUGAUUGAAUAUUAUAUUAAACUAUGUUUUAAAUCUACUUUGACAAUCAUUUUAAAGGAGAUAGUCAACAUCCCAAAAGA